rnacentral:rRNA from 1 species
UACAGAGGUCCCGAGCGUUGUUCGGAUUCACUGGGCGUAAAGGGCGCGUAGGUGGCUUGGUAAGUUUGAUGUGAAAUCUCCGGGCUUAACCCGGAAAAUGCAUUGAAUACUAUUUGAGCUUGAGGAUUGGAGGGGGACUGGAAUUCUUGGUGUAGCAGUGAAAUGCGUAGAUAUCAAGAGGAACACCAGUGGCGAAGGCGAGUCCCUGGACAACACCUGACACUGAGGCGCGAAAGCUAGGGGAGCAAACAGG